GGGCCCGUAGCUCAAUUGGUUAGAGCCGGCGGCUCAUAACCGUCUGGUUGGAGGUUCGAGCCCUCCCGGGCCCACCA
rnacentral:tRNA from 2 species